rnacentral:lncRNA from 1 species
CCCCACGGCCUGGGGACACGUUCCCCCCUCCUGUUGUUCUGCAAAGCCACCGAGCUGGAACCAGGCAGGGACUCAGCCGCGGGAAGCCGUCCCCGCCGCGGGGCGGUGAUCGCCGGAGCCGAGCGGAAGCGUCUCACCCCGGCCACGAUCGCAAACGGAGGUGGGCAGCUCGGAGCACCCGGGAGAGCAGAGCACUGCUUUUUAUGGUCACCCAGGGGAAAAGUCUUGUCUGAGGGACUGGGAGUGUGUCCUUGUGCCUGAGUUUCUGGGAUCAGAAGCAGAUUAUCGGAGCCCUUUCAGAGAGCGCACAAC